GGUGCCUUCAGCUUCAGCGUGCCCUCACCACUAAAAAUGGGCUGCCCUCACCGCACCUUAUCCACAUCUAAGACACCGCAAGAUCUGAGCCGCCAACCAGCCGAUGCUCCACCGCUCCUGUUGAUCUCGCUGGCUGGCGCCGGGCUGCCGGCGCCGCAGCAUCUCUUCCCUCCUCCUCGUAUUUCUCUCCAACAGCGACCACACCUCCCAAGUCCCAACUCAAAUUCCACAAGCGCUCCUACAGGCUAACUGAACAUGUCUGCCGAGCUGCUCCUACAGGCUACAGCUGCAUCUCCUCUCCCGUUUCUUGUCAUAAUGUAUUUUUUGAUUAUUUUUUUGGUUCAUUCCAUUGACGACCACUGCUUGAGUUCUUCCCUAUGGUGUUUGACUUUUUCUUUGGUCUCUUCGGUCUGAAACUGACGACCGAACCGAAGUAUCGGUCCACCGAAUUCUCGGUUAGCAGAAUUUUAUAAGACCGAUCGGUCAUCAAUUUCCCAAAACCGAAAUCUCUCCCUAAUAACGUGGCCUUUUCUAGAAAACCCCUUUUGCUUUUCAGUAUUUGAACCCGCAAUCCCUCUUUUACUGGAUGUCAAAAAACGUUUCGUGUUUUACAAAAAGACCCCUGCCUCUUAUCCACAUCCGCUUCCUUUUUCCAGCUGCGGCGGAGCGGCAGAAGAGGGGCGGGCCGAGCAGGAGAAGUUGAGGGGUGGCGCCCUUGCCGGCGGACGGCUACAGUCGCGGCGGGGAGGCGGGGCCGUAUGCGUCAGAUGCGCGCGCGCGGACGCAGCGGCCGUCCAUGGCGGCUCGUCUCGAUCAGGAGGACGAGGGGAAGGGCUCGCGAGGGCCGGCACCGGGAAUGGAGCGGAGGCGGGUGGAUCUGGCGAUUCCGAAGGAGCUGCGGCGGCGAGCGGCUCCGUGGGCGGCGACCUGCGAGGUUCAAGCGGCGGCUGCCAUGAAGGUUGAGCGGCACCUCUGCCUCACCACGGUUCCUGCCCAGCCGAGCCCACAUAGCACGCGGCGGAGGAGAAGUUGAGGGGCGGGCGGAGCAGGAGAAGUUGAGGGGCGGCGCGUUGACGGCGGCGACAGCUUCGGGUGGGCUCGUGGGCGAGCGUGCUGCAGGAAAAAUCAGGUCCCCGCCGGCGACGAGCUUGCUGGAGCCGAUGAAGGGACCCGCGCGCGUUGGCCGGCCUUGCUCUGGCGGCGGAGCUCGAGGGCGUGCCGGCUGCUGCACGUGGCGGAGCUGCUGCUCCUGCUUUUUCACUGCGUCGGCCGGCCUUCAGUGGCGGCGGCGCCGGCCUUGCUCUGGCGACGGAGCUCGAGGGCGUGCCGGCUGCUGCACGUGGCGGAGCUGCUGCUCCUGCUGUUCCGGCGCCGUCGGCCGGCCUUCAGUGGCGGCGGCUCGAGCUCCUGGGCAUGGCCAGCGGCUGCUCCAGUUGCUGGGCGCGGCGGCCGGAGCAGCACGCACCAGUUCUUCCUGCAGCCGCGUCGCCCACGUUCCCGAAAACCACCGUCCGCCAUGGCCGAUGAACCCAGUGCUCUCGAGCCCCUCGGCUUGCUCCCGCGGCACCAACAUGCUCGAAGAAUUGCCGACGCGUCCAGGGUGGGACUGCUCUCCAAUACGGACUCCAGGUCAUUCUUGGACUGAAAGGAUUCCAGAUAGUGGCCAUGGUGGAUGGAUGAUAUGAGGUGAUCUGGGUGCUGCAUUUGAUGGCCAUGAUCUGUUUGCUGCAGGCCAACUCCCUGCUUGUGGCCUCUGAAGGUUGGGAAACUAUAAUUGAAAUGUAUCUGAAGACAUGGUCAGCACGUUUAGGCACUUAUGAAUUCGAAAAUGUUAAUUGUUUGUUGUGCACUGAAGUUUUUGUGUUCAUAGUACUUCACGCCGAUAGCUGAUAAGGAAUUGAUUUUUUGCCAAUGUAUACAUAGAAAAGACAUGUAACUGUAGAUUUUUUUUUAAGAGAGCUAGCUACUUGGAUUACGCAUCGGCAAGUACUCCCACAGAUACAAUUAGAACUGGGUUUGCUCUUAAUUAAGCAGCUCGCUAGAUAACUUUUAAGGAUUUUCCCCAAAUCAAAAUAAUAACCUUGAAGUUCAGAUCUUCUACUGAAAGUCCUUUUCUAUCUAUGAACAUCAGGAGACAACUUCCAGUUCCAGUAGACCUAUCCGAUAGAAUUCUCGAAGCUAUUAGCUUGCAAGCUCUCAAUCAGGUAUUGUAUUCGCAACUUAGCGUAUUUUUUACUGAAGUUUGGUGCCUAACUCCCAAACAUCUUUUGUCAAUGGUAAGAAUGUAGAUGUUGACAACUUGACAUGAAUUUUAUGCUUUCUGCAAGAAGAGUGGUAUCAAUAUUAAUAGAGAAGUAGACAUUGUUCGAAUUAUUCCCGAUUAUUUGUGUUAUGUUAAUAGCUGCCUGCUCCUCCUUGGUCCCCUGUCAACUGUACAAAAGGUAAUUUAUCAGAAUCUUACAGCCUUUUAGCUGCACCUGAGCCUAUGAGGUUCCUUAGUUUCACCACUGAACAUGAAGCUACUCAAGUCUGAAGUCUGAAACGAUUGUCGGCGAUCGCAUUAUGAAUUCAGAAUUGAGAAAAUGAUGCACUAUCAAUAAAAUCAUUACAACCAGUGUCGAUUUGAACCGAUGAAUGUGCUUACUUCCAUGGUGCUACAGUAUAUACAAUCCCAAUGAUUUGUAUUCCUUGUGCCAUAAAAAUUUCUGCCGAUGCAACUGUGAGCUCAGGGGCAAUUUGUUUUAUAUUUUUAUAUAGUUGCAAUAAAAUGCUACGGUUGCGCGUUGGCUUUGCAUGUCUGAUUAGCUGGCUGAUGAAUAUUGUUACUCAAUUAAAAUGAUCUGGGAUUUUUUCAUGCCAAUAAAUACUCUCUGAAUUGUUAGUGUUUUGCACAGACUUCAUGUAGCAAGAAAUGUGAUGUCUGAAGGGAUGCACAUGUCUCCUUGGCAAAAAAAGAGACCGCAAUUAACACAAAUCCAAUGCAUCAAGGUCAGCAGUUCCAUAUUUUUAUGACCGGGAGUGUACCACUUCAUGCAUGCACUUUCUUUUAUUGUCGAUAACACGCCCGAUGCUUCGCGAAAUGUCUGAAUGAGAAAGAAAGAAAGAAAGAAAGAAAGAAAGAAAGAAAGAAAGAAAGAAAGAAAGAUAGAUAGAUAGAUAGAUAGAUAGGUAGAUAGAUAGGUAGAUAGAUAGAUAGAUAGAUAGAUAGAUAGAUAGAUAGAUAGAUAGAUAGAUAGAUAGAUAGAUAGAGAUAGAGAGUAUGUAAGUGAUGGAGCAUCAUGUGGCCUUGACGCACGGGCAUUCGUAUCUACUCCUACUUACUUAUAUCUUCUAUUCCCAGUUAAUUAGAAUUUUUUUAUUUGUGGUCAUCUCCUAAGUAAGCAAAUUAUUUUUUGUGUUAAAGAGGAGUACGUUCUGUUUUUAUUUGUGACCUGAAGGUCAGCAACGUAAAGCUUGCAUGCAUCUGAAGGCAUGUUCCAUCCUUGAAUAUAUACUAAUAUAAAGGCAUGUUACAAUUGUGGGCAGGUAGAAAAUUCAUCAUUUUAUACAAGGACUAUGGAGUUAAAUUUUGGUUGGUUGCUUUCGACUUUCACCAUUUGGCCAGCUCUAUCUCUUUCACACCUCUUCCUCUGUGACAAAGGGAUGAAGCUAUUGGUUUUGAAAUUUGAAAUAGAGGCCUGAAGUUGGCACCAAUGCUCCAAUGCAAAUUUGAUACAUCAAGGUUAGCUUUUACAUAGCUUUUGUUACUGAAAAUAUAUCAGAGAAGCACUUCCGAAUCAAUUAUCGGUGUUUAAAAUAUAUUUUUAGAUAUCAUGGACCAUACAUAAUCCCGGCAUCAACUUUUGUGUAGCGCUUGAUAUAUGUUUAUAAUCAUCUGCAAGACUGCGUUAAGAAAAUGAUGUGAAAUAUUUAGAUUGGUACGCUGCGAGGAGUGGGCUGGAAUGACAUGUUUCCUCUCUCUAUAUUGUCAUAGUGGUGGAGGUACAUGCAGAUCUGACGCCAUUUUUACAUAUUUGCAUAUAUCAAUGGUCAAUAUUUUUUUUGUGUUUUCCUACUGACAUUUACAUACUACUUUGCGUUUUAAAAGCUACAAACAGUUUUCUCUGUGCAGACCAUGAAGAGAUGCAUCUCAGAGGACAAGCAAUGCCAUGUUUUCAUUGUACUGAAAAUACUUAGUUUCCUGCCAAUUUUGUUAGUAAUCUAUAUAUAACUAUACUUCUUAUUGAUUUUCUCUGUGCAGACCAUAAAGGGAUGCCUCCCGGGACAAGCAUCGUCGUAUUUUCAUUGUACUAAAAAACAUAAUUUCCUGGUCAUUUUUGUUAUUAAUCCGUACAUAACUAUAUUUAUUAUCAUGAGGUGAAAAUAUUCUGAGGAUGCUUUCAGGUACAUAAAUAAAGAUAUAUAAUGUAUUCAGCUUCUGCUUACACUUUA